rnacentral:rRNA from 1 species
UACGAAGGGGGCUAGCGUUGCUCGGAAUUACUGGGCGUAAAGCGCACGUAGGCGGUCUUUUAAGUCGGGGGUGAAAUCCUGGAGCUCAACUCCAGAACUGCCUUCGAUACUGGAAGACUUGAGUCCGGGAGAGGUGAGUGGAACUGCGAGUGUAGAGGUGAAAUUCGUAGAUAAUCGCAAGAACACCAGUGGCGAAGGCGGCUCACUGGCCCGGUACUGACGCUGAGGUGCGAAAGCGUGGGGAGCAAACAGG